GUUGUCCGGAAUCAUUGGGCGUAAAGCGCGCGUAGGCGGCCCGGUAAGUCCGCCGUGAAAGUCCAGGGCUCAACCCUGGAAUGCCGGUGGAAACUGCCGGGCUGGAGUCCGGAAGAGGCGAGUGGAAUUCCUGGUGUAGCGGUGAAAUGCGCAGAUAUCAGGAGGAACACCAAUGGCGAAGGCAGCUCGCUGGGACGGUACUGACGCUGAGACGCGAAAGCGUGGGGAGCAAACAGG
rnacentral:rRNA from 1 species